rnacentral:lncRNA from 10 species
AGGAAAGGGAGCAGCCAGAGGCUUCAUCCGAAAACAAGUCCUGUUUUCAGCGGACUUUGGCAGAGUUGAGAGAAGACUAACCUAUUGGCAAGCCUUGCCAGAAGAUGCUAAAUGAAAGUUUUUCAGAUGAGAAAACUGAGGCUGGGAGGAGUGAGCCACUUGCCCAAGCAAACACAGCUAACAAGCUCUAAGCACUGUGAGGACAGAGGUCCUGUUGGCCUCAUGCACCACUGUCUAGACCUGCACCCACUGUUCAGAAUGGCAGCCAUGAGCCACGUGUGGCAACUGGGUACUCAAGUGAGGCAGCCGUGAAUUGAGAUGUGCUAUGAAAGUAAAAUACACCUGGAUUUCAGAAACUUCAAAUGAAAACGAUAAUGUAAAAUGUAUUGUGAUAUUUUGGAUAUAUUGG